ensembl:lncRNA
AUGUGUGUGGGAAGGCAAGGAACCAUAACAUUUCUUUGUAAGUUUCUGUCACUUGGUGAUGAGGAUAUGAUGGGGCAUCGGAGUUUUGACUCGGGAUGCAGUUAUCUUCCGCUCUGCCUCUCAUGGCAGAUGUCUGCAAUGUUUUCAGUCUUUCUCCAUUCCAGCCCCUCCCAGAAGUGUCAGAUUCCUCUUACAGGGGGUGUAGCCGAUCGCUCCUCAGCUUUUCCUGUUCUUCACAGCCAUAAUGCCUCUUUCUUCAUGUUGUAUCGCCCUUUGGCAGCUGCCCAAGAUGUCGUCUUGUUGCUUCUAUAAAAUGAACACUCAAGAGAACCGCAUUAUAAACUUUGACCACAAUUGCAUAUAAGCAAUCUCUGGUAUGGUCAGUCAUCUUGUGCAACUGUCCAAAAUUUAAGGAAUCUCAUCCAGUUAACAGUAUAUAUAUAUAGCAGUUCUUUGGUUUAUUUUAAUAAGCAAGUUCUUCUUUGCUGGAAAAGUGCAAGCAAUUCCUUCUUUGCAGAAUGCAGAAAAGAGCAGUAACCUAUUCUAUCUGAUAUGAGCAUUUAUGAGCAUUAUACUUCUAUAAUUCUUAUGUACACAUCAGCAUGAUGCAUUGUAUUAUAACUUCAGACUGAAAUCUUGUAAAUAGUCUACCAAAUGUAACAACCAAAGUUAAGAUUUUUUAUUUUAUUUAUUUUUUUUAAUCUAAAUUAUUAGCUUAAUACGGCCGUUUAAAAUAGUCACUCAAUCUUGUUCCCAUUGAUCACAAUGCACAAGUUAUUUUAGUUAACACAAAAACUAUAGUCUCAAUCUCCACAAUGUAUCACAUUUCAGGCUGUCCCCCAGAGAUAACGGACACACAAACUUCACUCUUGUAAAGAUAAAAUGUAAUGCAAGCUAUCUCUUUGAAAACAUCUAUUUAUCAUUAUAUUACUUGUUUAUUCAUCAAUAUAAUUCCCUUGUGGCUCCCACUUUUCAUAUAAACUAGCCUUUAACUUUUCAGAGCCAAUACUUAACUCAAAUGUCCUAAAAAAAAUUCUGCCAAAUCAUCUAAAUACAGUUUUCAUUUCUGCUCUAUACAUUGCCAUCCCUCUGAUCAACAAUACUGUCCUAAUUUUGGCUUUGUUGGUUACUGACAUAUAGGCGUGCUUCCAUUUCCCUUCAUAUUGCGCAAAAUGACAUUGCGAAUUGAAAAUACGCCUAAUGGAAACACCAAUUUAAAAAAAACUAGCUGUUUUUAUUCAUAUUUUAUAUUUUAUUAUUAAAAAAUUAAUAAUUCGCAAACCUGCUGUGGAAACAGGGUUUUCACAUUUACAGGUCACAUGCCGUAUGUAAAAAGUCAUAUGAUAAUUCUUCAACGUACUAUAACCUCCAAAAAACAUUUCAUACGUCCAGUAUAAGGGUUUUCCCCUACCAUUAAUGCUUAGACAAUUUACACUGCACACAUCUGCGAUGCAGUUUGGCUCUGAUACAGCCACUGAAGCUGAUCGCAGCCACUCUAGUCAAUGCUUGUGUUUGCUCCAGCCGCGACACGGAUUGUCUCUGAAGCAGCUCUCAGCUGUAAAGAUACAUGCAUACGCCUCCUUUGAAUAAAUAUAGACAAAAUCAGUUGUCAUGACUUAUCGCGAGUGGCAAAAUAUUACGUUUUAGAAGCAUAACCUUGGUUAAUGGAAACACUGUCAUUUCACAAUGCUUUUUUUUUUAAUUUAAUUUAAUUUAUUUAUUUUUUUUAUCGACAUUUAUAAAAUAUCAACAAAAUUUUGCGCAAAUCUGUAAUGGAAACCCACCUAGUGCCUCUUAAAAUAGCAACUCACUGAUCAAACACAGCUGAGAGAGAACAAAGCAAGAGUAGAUUCGUUUCAAAACUUCACUAAAUCCAAGUGAACUUAGAAUGGCAAAUAGCCAUUAGAUGAAUGUGCACUAAACAAUUUGAUGGAACACUACUCUGCUGUUUCACCCAUCCUGUAUAGAUCAAGGGACAUACAUAGACAAUUAAAAGAAUUGCGAUUUAUCAAUUUAUUUGUUUUAGUGCCUUGCAAGGACUUCACAAAACUCUCAAAUCAUUUAAAAUCCUAAAUCUAGGAAGGACUGAGAAUGUCAAUGUGAGAAUAGGUAACAAAGAUAGCCUUUCACGAAGCGUCCAUUCGCUUUUUAAGAAUGAGUAAUGAAAAAAAGUUAUCUUUUGCGAAACUUCUAUUCUAAUAACAGUCAGUCGCGACCCGAUACUGUUCUUCCCGUAUGUCUUACACAGUACGAGGAUAACCCACUCUGCCAAAUAUGACAGAGUCCAAAUUCACGGCACGAAAAAUAUGUUCAAUUUCUUAACAGACAGUAAGAAUAAUUAAAGAUUAUUCCUCACCUGUCUGCAGAAAUCCCGACGAGCCCCCACUGUUAAAUAACACAUAAUUCUGUCUUUAUCUUUUCGAUGCCGUCCGACCAUUCUCAGUCCUUGCAUGAGCUCAUGGAAAGAAGUAAAUGAACAUGAAGCCUUUUAGUCUGCUCACAAACUUCUUCCCCGUUUAUUAUUACAUUCACACAUUAUAUAGUUGCAUUGCAAAGGGUGGUGUAGUGGUUUAUCCAAUAAGCAUUGUACACUACACCAUAUAGGAAUGUCUAGAAAACAAGGGGGUUUCCCUCCUGCUGCCUCUAGAGCCCGUACAUCUGUAUGUUAUAUAGAAUGGAAGUAUGGCCAGGAAGUUCUGGACAUAUUAGGCAUACACUUGGCCAAGGAUACUUCAACUCUGAGCAGAAGGACAGACCGAACUCAAUAACCUUCGGGCCUAUAGCCCCCGUCCUGGUCUGAACAUCUGAACUCAUGAGGAAAUAUGCAUGUGUGUGCAUACAUUGAGGUAUAGAAAGAGAACACAGAAGGGAGGAGGGAGCAAGACAGAAGAAAAGGAGUAAGAAGGGAGGAGGGAUUGCAGAGAGGCACAAAAACAUCUGGCAGAGAGCAUAAUAUAAUCUAACACCAACUUUUGGCGCUUUUGGCAGUGUGGGCAGGUGCCAAAUCCUGCUGGAAAAUGAAAUCAGCAUCUUCAAAAAGCUGGUCAGCAGAAGGAAGUAUGAAGUGCUCCAAAAUUUCUUGUUAAACGGGUGCAGUGAUUUUGGUUUUCAAAAAACACAAGGGACCAACACCAGUAGAUGGCAUUGCACCCCAAAUCAUUACAGAUUGUAGAAACUUAACACUGGACUUCAAGCAGCUUGGGCUAUGAGCUUCUCCACCCUUCCUCCAGACUCUAGGACCUUGGUUUCCAAAUGAAAUACAAAACUUGCUCUCAUCUGAAAAGAGGACUUUGGACCAAUGGCAACAGUCCAUUUCUUCUUCUCCUUAGCCCAGGUAAGAUGCCUCUGACGUUGUCUGUGGUUCAGGAGUGGCUUAACAAGAGGAAUACGACAACUGUAGACAAAUUCCUUGGUGGCUCUUGAAGCCUUGUCCCCAGCCUCAGUCCAUUCCUUGUGAAGUUAACUCAAAUUCUUGAAUCGAUUUUGCUUGACAAUCCUCAUAAGGCUGCGGUUCUCUCGGUUGGUUGUGCAUCUUUUUCUUCCACACUUUUUCCUUCCACUCAACUUUAUGUUAACAUGCUUGGAUACAGCACUCUGUGAACAACCAGCUUCUUUGGCAAUGAAUGUUUGUGGCUUACCCUCCUUGUGUAGGGUGUCUUCUGGACAAGUUUCAGAUCAGCAGUCUUCCCCAUGAUUGUGUAGCCUAGUUAACCAAACUGAGAGACCAUUUUGAAGGCUCAGAAGCCUUUGCAGGUGUUUUGAGUAGAUUAGCUGAUUGGCAUGUCACCAUAUUCUAAUUUGUUGAGUUUUUGUUAAAUGUAAGCCAAAAUCAUCACAAUUAAAAGAACCAAAGACUUAAACUACUUCAGUCUGUGUGCACUGAAUUUAUUUAAUACACGAGUUUCACAAUUU